rnacentral:rRNA from 1 species
UACGUAGGGUGCGAGCGUUGUCCGGAAUUAUUGGGCGUAAAGGGCUCGUAGGCGGUUUGUCGCGUCGGGAGUGAAAACCUAUGGCUUAACUGUGGGCUUGCUUUCGAUACGGGCAGACUAGAGGUAUGCAGGGGAGAACGGAAUUCCUGGUGUAGCGGUGAAAUGCGCAGAUAUCAGGAGGAACACCGGUGGCGAAGGCGGUUCUCUGGGCAUGACCUGACGCUGAGGAGCGAAAGUGUGGGGAGCGAACAGG